rnacentral:lncRNA from 1 species
GCCUGGAUUGAUUUGUUUCAGCAAUUUGAGGUAAAGGCGAACCAUAUUUUUGUGUAUUUAUAAUUUGAGUUGUUAAAUUAAAUUAACUUCACUUUUUGCUACAUUAUGGACAAACGUGCAGUUGUUUUUGGCCAUUCUUUCAUUCGUCGGUUAAAUGAUUUUGUUUUAUGCAAUAAACAUAAUGGCUGGUCAAAUUUGUCUCUUUAUGAAAGAGAUAUUUUAGUAAACUUAUUUGGUUUUGGUGGCGGCACUGUACGUCAAGGUCCAAAAUGUAUGUUUCAACCAUGCUUAUUAAAAGUUAUAGCUGAUGAUAAACCCGAUGUUGUAUUUUUGCAAGUUGGGGGUAAUGAUAUUAAGCAUGAUAGUGUUGACCCAAAGCUAUUAGCUCGAGAUAUAACUUCAUUUGCAGAGUUCAUCAUUGAUGGUUAUGAUGUAAAACAUGUUAUUGUCGGUCAACUUUUUCACCGUUUUAAUGCGAAUCGGCCAUAUAAUUACAACGAAAUUGUUAAUGAAGUAAAUACACAUGUAAAAUUGAUCAUAAAGAAUAUAGACAAAUUAUCGUUUUGGCAUCAUAGAGGCAUGUGGUCUGAUUCUGAAUCACUGAUAGCAAAUGACGGUGUGCAUUUAAAUAAAAAAGGCACUUUAAAGUUUGCAAAUAGUAUCAGAUCCGCCUUAGGCAUCUGUAUGAG